rnacentral:lncRNA from 1 species
GAAAGCGUUUGGGUGGGCUGAGGCAGAGCCCGAGCCUUCCCUGCCUCUCCCACCCCUCUCUGCCCUCCCCUGCCCACAUGGCUCACAAGCAAGAGGUCACCGGCAGCUGGAUGUGCCCAUCUGUCUGCAAUGCCAAGGAGACAAGCACAUGGGCACUGGAAGAGAGAGUAACCUGUGUAUGACUGGGGCGUGCAUGUGCAGCAUAGCAGCUACAGUGUCUGUGCAAAAGACGGGAGGCUGUCAUGGGGAAGAAAAAGAAAUGUGCUUUACAGGUCAUCAUGGAAGAUGCUGGAAUAGAGAUUGAUGGACAAGUCGAAAGUGACGCAGAGAGUGAAGGCUGCUCAUUUUUCACUCUGGAUCCCAUUCUAGUAAAAUGUCCUUCUUCCAUUGCAAUUUCUCCAACCCUGGGG